CAGAAGAAGAGUAUUUCCCAAAGAAACAUAAGCAUUAUAUUGUUGAAAACUGUGAACAAAUGAGCUAAUGAAAAUCUUUUAAAUUUUUCAGGAUGAGAGAGACACAGAGAAAGACGAAGAACUAGAACUGAAAAGAAGUCUUUUGUACAGAGACUGUGCCUAUGACAGUGACCCUGAGUACAGCUCAUAUCAGCGGCCACAUGGCAACCUCCAUUUGGAUGAUGGUGAAUACUGGUCCAACAGGGCGUCCUCCUAUAAAGGAAAAUCCCACCGACCCAUCUUUGAGAACAGCAUGGACAAGAUGUAUAGGAACUUAUACAAAAAGGCCUGUGGCUCUGUUUCGCACACACAGGAAACCUUCUGAGACUAUCCACGAUAAACUAUGAGUGUCCAUGUCACCCUCUCAAUGAAAAUGUUUGAUGUGAUCAAUGUCUGCACUCCUUUUUUAAAAAUAAGUGGUUCUUUAAGUAGUAAGACUUGAAUCAUUUCUUACUGCAAAAUGAUAAAUUAUUAUUAUUAUGUCUUUAUUACAGAAGAAUGUGCUGUGUUUCAAAUAUCAAAGCUCCACAGUACAAUCACAACUUCUGAUCUGUGACAAGGGUGUCCCCUCACAUGUAUCUCACACCGCCAUCUACAAACUAAAGAACAGAUUCUCUAGAAAAGCUCUCCUGUUUUAAUUACUUUGUAAUUAUCUUUUCAACUGCUUGACUGAUUAUCUUAUGUGGAUAAGGUAUAAUUAAUAUUAAUUCCCUUUUCUUGAUAAUCAGGAAAAAAUCUAUUGAGAAAUGAAUUUCCUAGGAGUUUAAACCAUUUUAAUUGUGUUUUCUAGUUUUCUGUCCCUCAGAAAAGGCUAUUUGUAUUUCUUAGCUCAUAAUAAAUAGCUUUCUUAUUAAAUGUUUCACUUUGAAUAUAAUGCAGGCAUUCACUCCUCUGGAAGAACUGCUUCAGUUACCUAAAUACAUAACUGUUAACUAGAAAUAACUGUUAACUGUGAAUCCAAAAUGUGAAUGCCUUUUUCUUUUUUUAGAAUUCUUACAGAUUUUCUUCUAUGGCCAUGCCUUUUUGUACUAUACAAUGAAAAUAGUUUUUGUUAGUAAGUGUAUAGAAAUUGCAAAAAGAAAAAAAAAAGGGAAUUACAUUAUAAUUUAACCUUUUUGACAUUAUCAUAGGUAUCAUAAUGCCCAAGAAAGUCGAAACCUCACUUUGAAUAACAUAAUACAGUGGAGUGCUUUUUAGUAGGCAUUUCAAAAUCUGUUGGUAGUUUGACAAAAUUAGUUUUUUCUUCCUCUGAAGACAGUGAUACUUAAGGUCUAAAGAAAUCAGUUACCAUGUUUACCAGAGGAUGAGAAGAGAAAACCAGAAAUAAAUGUAGUUUGCUUUUAAGAUUGAAGAGCUGACUACAAGAUAGUAUUUUAUUGGUUGAUUCUACAGUUAUAAGUUAGAAAGAAAACAAUUGACUUGCACUUCAUUUAAAUUGAAAUUAAAAUGUAAAAUUGGUUACAUUGUUGGGAAAAAUAUAUUUGUUAUCCAAUGAUAGACCAUGUAAAUAUCGUAUUAAGAAUGUUUUUUGAGUUGUCGGUAGGAUGACAGCAAUGAAAAGGGAUGCUACAAAUGUGGGCAGCCAGGGAGAGUCUGGCGUGUUAGGGCGAAGUAUAAUACAGCACGUUAGAGGCUUUAAGAAAUCAUGGUGUCAACCUAUGCUGGUAUCCAAUAAAGAGUCUGGCACAUAAUUGAUAGCCACCACUCUUUGUUCUCCCAGCUGCCCGUUUCUUCAACUCAGAAUGCCGUUCUCAGGUACAUGUGGACACUGACUGUCAAAAUGCAGGACCGUAUGACCACUGAGUUAUCCUCUGGCUGAGGGUUAUGUGAUGAUAUUCUGCACAGUAUGCUUGUAAAGGUUAUUACUGAGCAUAGUAAGCAUAUUCUCAAUGAAAAUUAAUGUGUUUUUCUGUGGGAAAAAAUUUUUAAAAGUCCUCCAUUUAAAAGUUGCCACUGAUGAAACAAGUGACUAUGUUCAUCCCAGAAAAUAUUCUAUUACAAAAAGUCUCCUAAGUAAUUAAGCACCGCAAAAAUUACUUGUUGUAUGUAUAUCUGCUAUUACCUAUGGAAACAGCCAUGAAAAGUAAGACAGACAGAGAGAGAGAGAGAGAGAGAGAGAGAGAGAGAGAGAGAGAGAGAGCGCUUUGUAAACUAAUACUGUGAAAGACAUCUUUUUCUAUAAAUUAAAUUUCGCAUCCUUGUGAAGGAUGGGGCAGAUUCCCAGGUAUCUGGCAUCUCUGCUGUGUGUGUGAUCAUCUUCCCUUUUUAGGGGAAGGAUUGAUCGUUAUUGUUCAGUCACUUUGAAUUCUUAUGUUGUAUCGUUUUGAAAGAGUAAACCUUUAAGUACUAAUGAUUGUAUUUUCUCAUCCAUAGAAGCAAUUGUUUAUUCUCUUAUAUAUUUUUUUCUAUAUUUGUCAUAGGCCUGAUAAUAACCAUUGGACUUUGUAAGAAAGAUAGUUCUUUUUCAUCUUUCAAUAUAUUUUUCUUUAUAUAAACAAACAGAAAUUUUAGUAAAGGAAAAUGUUAAAUUUAACAAAGAAAUAAGGGUGUUAUUCCUUAUUUACAUAAGGUUACAUAAGGAAGAUCAGUCCUUCUGUAACCUUAUGUCCCUUAUUCCUCUUGAAAUUUACUUUUUUCACAUAAAAGGAGAUAAAGGGGAUAAUUUGAAAUGAUAUUUUAACAUUCCAUCAUUUUUACAAUUGUGUAAUUAAUGCAGAUGAUCAAGCAAUCUUGGGUAAAUAAUUGUGAUCUGAUUUCAGAGAUUAAGUUCCUGAUUAAGAAUUAGGUGCAUGGGCUGGGGAUUUGGCUCAGUGGCACAAGCGCCUACCUUGCAAGUGCGCAGUCAUGAGUUCAAUCCCUGGUACCGAUAAAAAAAAAAAAAAAGAAUUAGGUGCAGAUGGAGAAUUUUCAUCAUUUAUUUACUAACAAUAGCUGUAUUGAGAUAGAAUUAAUUUUAUUAAAGUAUAUAAUUAACUGGUUUUUGCUGUAUUCUGUGUUUUAUAACCAUAACCACUAAAUAAUUACAGAAUAUUUAUCACCCUAAAUAAAUUCUGAACCUAAUAGCAAUCAGUUCCCAUUUUCUAUUCCCUCAGCUCCUGGAAAGUACUAAACUACUUUCUUCUCUAUUCUGGACAUUUCAUGUAAAUGGAAUCAUAUGUGACCAGCCGUGUCUGUCUGCUUUCAUUUAGCAUAAUUGAUAUUUCAGGAUUUGUCUACCUUGUAAUGUACUAAAUGCCUUUUUUAAAUUACUAAAUAACCAUUUUAUGAACAUA